GCCGGGCGUGGUGGCUCACGCCUGUAAUCCCAGCACUUUGGAAGGCUGAGACGGGUGAAUCGCCUGAGGCCGGGAGUUUGCGACCAGCCUGACCAACAUGGCGAAACCCCGUCUCUA
ensembl:misc_RNA Metazoa_SRP Metazoan signal recognition particle RNA